GACGAACGCUGGCGGCGUGCUUAACACAUGCCAGUCGAACGGAAAGGCCCUGCUUUUGUGGGGUGCUCGAGUGGCGAACGGGUGAGUAACACGUGAGUAACCUGCCCUUGACUUUGGGAUAACUUCAGGAAACUGGGGCUAAUACCGGAUAGGAGCUCCUGCUGCAUGGUGGGGGUUGGAAAGUUUCGGCGGUUGGGGAUGGACUCGCGGCUUAUCAGCUUGUUGGUGGGGUAGUGGCUUACCAAGGCUUUGACGGGUAGCCGGCCUGGGAGGGUGACCGGCCACAUUGGGACUGAGAUACGGCCCAGACUCCUACGGGAGACAACAGUGGGGAAUAUUGCACAAUGGGCGGGAGCCUGAUGCAGCAACGCCGCGUGCGGGAUGACGGCCUUCGGGUUGUAAACCGCUUUCGCCUGUGACGAAGCGUGAGUGACGGUAAUGGGUAAAGAAGCACCGGCUAACUACGUG
rnacentral:rRNA from 1 species